rnacentral:tRNA from 1 species
GCACCCGUAGCUCAGCUGGAUAGAGUAGCAGAUUCCGAAUCUGUUGGUCACAGGUUCAAAUCCUGUCGGGUGUA